rnacentral:sRNA from 1 species
UAUCUCUCUGUACAGGGAAGGAUGAGAAGCUUCGAUUAAGGUUCGACUCGAACGGAAGCGAGAGAACGUUGCCAACGGCAACGGCCCGAAGGGCGCGACGCGCCGAGUCAUCCUUCCCCCACCACAA